AUACGGAGGGUGCGAGCGUUGUUCGGAAUUAUUGGGCGUAAAGAGCAUGUAGGCGGUCUGUUAAGUCUGGUGUGAAAGCCCGGGGCUCAACCCCGGAAGUGCAUUGGAUACUGGCAGACUUGAGUAUGGGAGAGGAAAGCGGAAUUCCGAGUGUAGGAGUGAAAUCCGUAGAUAUUCGGAGGAACACCAGUGGCGAAGGCGGCUUUCUGGACCAAUUCUGACGCUGAGAUGCGAAAGCGUGGGGAGCAAACAGGAUUAGAUACCCCAGUAGUCC
rnacentral:rRNA from 1 species